rnacentral:rRNA from 1 species
UACCAGACUCCUACGGGAGGCAGCAGUGGGGAAUAUUGGGCAAUGGGCGCAAGCCUGACCCAGCAACGCCGCGUGAAGGAAGAAGGCUUUCGGGUUGUAAACUUCUUUUCUCAGGGACGAAGCAAGUGACGGUACCUGAGGAAUAAGCCACGGCUAACUACGUGCCAGCAGCCGCGGUAAUACGUAGGUGGCAAGCGUUAUCCGGAUUUAUUGGGUGUAAAGGGCGUGUAGGCGGGAGCGCAAGUCAGAUGUGAAAACUCAGGGCUCAACCCUGAGCCUGCAUUUGAAACUGUGUUUCUUGAGUGCUGGAGAGGCAAUCGGAAUUCCGUGUGUAGCGGUGAAAUGCGUAGAUAUACGGAGGAACACCAGUGGCGAAGGCGGCCCACUGGACGGUGACUGACGCUGAGGCUCGAAAGCGUGGGGAGCAAACAGGAUUAGAUACCCCUGUA